rnacentral:ncRNA from 1 species
AGCUCGCUGUGAAGUUACGCAGCUCCCGACGGAGACGUCGGGAUGAUAAUAGGGUGAAUUGCUGGAAGCCCUCGCGCAAGCAAGGUAAUCAGCAGCCAAGCCCUCCGAAGCUUUAUGCCCAGGAGGGAAGGUUCAGAGACUAUCCGCAAGGAGUACUGCGACAUCGUGUCGUGGGAAGCGCCCUGCAUCCUCGCUCGCAAGAGACGGAUGAAGAUAUAGUCCAUGCCGUUGGGAAACCGAUGG